CCACAUCACAUUGAAACACCUGUUCCUGUACAAUCACCAAAGUUAAGCAAUGUUGAACCUGGUCAGUAGCUAGAUGGGUGACGAUUUGGAAAUACCAGGUGCUG